ACCUCCUGUAAACAACCCAAGUGAAGUGCGGUGUUGACGUAUGUGGCUCGAUUACGGACAUACCACGACAACCGCUUGCGAGCACGCUAAAAUGCAUUAGAUUCAGCCUAAUUGCAAAUCAUUAUUUUAUUAUAAGUUAUACAUGCUGUGCAAGUGUGGGAUGGUUGGUCUGAAAAUAGCAUAACGAGCUAACAUUAGCAAACAACUCGUAACACAAGUCAAUGUUACGUCACGUGGUGUGAGUAGGGCGGCCAUCUUUCUCUAAAAACACAAACAACAAGAGUAAGGAGCAGACUUCUCGACUAGACAUCAACACGCAGCGACCGUAGGAGAGGGGGUAAAUAAAUCAAAUAUUGAGCACGACUUCAUGAGAGUAUCAGUACAAUUCUGUUGGAGGAGGAUGUUUGCAGAAAGAGAAAGGAAACCAAUGCAUAUGAAUUAAAACUGAAGAUUGUACACAACAAAACGUAUUUAAAAAAAUAAAUAAACGACAUUAAUUCAAAGCAGUUUGAAGGGAGGUGGACAGGAAUCAAAGGUGUCGACACCUAGAGGGUCAGUCAAGCCACGUUUCAGUCGGAGAGAGAACGACAGGAGGGAAAAGAGGGAGAGAAGGAGGGAGAGUCGCGUCUGCUCCUGGCAGCUGUUCCAGCAGCCUGUUCUGUUUCCCCCUAGGUUUUUAAUUUAAAUCGAGAAUAAUCGUCAUUUUUUUCAUGUCAAAUGUGAUAUUACUGCUGUUGUCGUAAUCAUUACUGUUACUAUCGAGUAUUUUAUUUUGUUUGUUUCAUCAACUCGUUUUCGGAUUAUUCCAGUUUCUUGUUUUUAUUUUUACGACUUUUUCCAGCUGUGAGCAGAGGCUUCUUCCAAACUGUCCUCAUAUCCAUACCAGUACUCUAUCCCCUAUACACACCUGAAACAGGCAGCUAUUCUCUAUCUCUGUGUGUAUUGGGGAGCUCUGUUACCACAGCUGUGUAAGCACCACUCAGCCUUCUCACUCAGCCUUCUAAGCCUAACUAAGCCAGUCCUAGCCUGGUCCAGCGAAGUCCAGCCUGGUCCACUCUUCUGGACAGGAUACUCAGCUCUGUAAAGACGUGAGGAAUAUGACUGCUGAGACACUUAACUUCGGCCCAGAAUGGCUCCGUGCACUAUCCAGUGGGGGGAGUGUGACGUCCCCCCCUCCUUCCCCCGCCAUGCCAAAGUACAAGCUGGCCGAGUAUCGCUACGGCCGAGAGGAGAUGUUAGCACUUUAUAUCAAAGAGA